rnacentral:misc_RNA from 1 species
UUUGUCGCAUUCCGCUUUCUGCUGACUGAGCAACACUGCUUUGGGUCGUCUGUAUCUUUUUCUUCUUUUUUGGGUUGAGUAAUUGUUUGGUCAAAAGAUGGAGGACGACGCACCAGAGUUCAUGGAGAUUCACGAGAUCGUGAUACAAAAGCUGGGUCAUGUCCCGAUCGUCAAAGGCGAUUUCCACAUGCUGCCCAAGAAAGUGCAGAAGUUCUUGGCAAAAUGGGUGUACACGUGUAAGCCACGCGCUCUGUAUAUCUGUGAUGGGUCUCAUGCAGAAGCUGAGGAGGUCACCCACAAGCUGAUAGAGAGGGGGGUCCUCACAAAAUUAAAGAAAUACGAAAACUGCUACUUGUGCCGUACUGACCCAGCUGAUGUUGCUCGGGUGGAAUCAAAAACGUGGAUUGCAACUGAUGAUAAAUAUGAAACAGUCCCCCAUGUGCGACAGGGAGUGAGGGGAAUUCUGGGACAAUGGAAACACACCAAGGAACUGGAGGAGGAGGUGAAUGGUGAUUUUGAUGGCUGCAUGGCAGGUAGGACUAUGUAUGUGAUCCCCUUCAGUAUGGGGCCCAUCGGGGGUCCCCUGAGUAAGAUAGGGGUCCAGCUGACAGAUUCCAACUACGUCCUGCUCUGUAUGAGAAUUAUGACCAGAGUGUCAGCGGAUAUCUGGGAGGUUCUGGGAGACAAUGACUUUGUGAGAUGUGUGCAUUCCAUGGGCUGUCCCAGACCUGUGCAGAGAAAGGUCGUCAACCACUGGCCAUGUAACCCAGACAAGAUCAUGAUCGGUCAUUUUCCGGCCCGCCGUGAGAUUGUGUCCUUUGGUAGUGGUUACGGAGGUAACUCAUUGCUGGGGAAGAAGUGCUUUGCUCUGAGAAUUGCCAGUGUCAUUGCCAGGGAUGAGGGAUGGCUCGCCGAGCACAUGUUGAUUAUGGGAUUGACCAAUGAGAAAACAGGAGAAGAGAAAUUUGUUUGUGCAGCUUUCCCGAGUGCCUGUGGGAAGACCAAUCUUGCCAUGAUCCAGCCAACCAUCCCAGGGUACAAAGUUCGAGUUGUCGGGGAUGACAUUGCGUGGCUUAGAUUUGACGAUAAGGGUGUCCUUAGAGCCAUCAACCCCGAGAACGGCUUCUUUGGAGUGGCUCCAGGCACCAACAUGAAAACUAACCCCAAUGCCAUGCUGUCAUUUCAGAAGAACUCCAUCUUCACAAAUGUGGCAGAAACAGCAGAUGGCGGGUUCUUCUGGGAGGGAAUGGAGGAUGAGAUUGAUAAAAACAUUGCCAUCACUAACUGACUGGGCUGGGCGACAUUAAGUGGGAUGAGCUGUUCAGCCUGCCCAAGCACUACUGGCUGGACGACAUGCGUGAGAGCAAGCGCUUCCUGGAGGACCAGGUCGGCACGGACGUUCCUCAGGUCAUCUGGGACGAACUCAACGCCCAGGAGAAGCGCAUAGAGGAGCAGCUGUAGGGCUGUUACCCCAGGGACUGUCAUAGAGACAACACACAUAUAAUGUAUACUGUGCUAGGAGCUUUAACUUGACUGCUUGUUGUAGAUUUAAUAACGUCAACGGCCGAUCUAACUGUGAAUGUUUGUUGUCUUUCAAAUAUUGAGAGUGAAAUACGUGGACAUCUGAUAUAGGAGACUUUGUUGUACAAUGAUUGUAUAAUUUGCAUAAUAUAGUCUGUAUAGUGUGCAAAAUUUGUCUCUGGACACAACUAUUGACUGAGAAUGGUAACAUAUAUCAAGUCCUAUUAAUUCAGUAUCUUUUAACAUCCGUUUUAUAUCAUACAUUCUUCAUUACGCCUAUUUAGGUGUAUUUGUUAUAGGUAGCAGUUUGGUGCAGAUGAGGAAUCAUUUUGUUGUUUCGAUGUCUUAUGUUUGUUUGUUGUGGACCUUUAUGCAUAAAAUGUUGGUUUUAAAAACUGUUGCAUGCUUUUGCCACAAAAUAUCAUUUAUCAAAUAAAAGAUGUAGUAAUUUGUUCUCAUUAAAUUAUAGAACCCUU